AAAAAGGGCUUGUGCCGUGAGCAGCAGCUUGAUUGCCCGGUGUGCGAAAUCGACAUCAAGACAUGUCAAAGGCAUGAUUUUUUGGUAUCCGGGCAGCUGGUGAUCGUUGGUCCCAGUGCCCUU